UACGUAGGGUCCAAGCGUUAUCCGGAAUUACUGGGCGUAAAGAGUUGCGUAGGCGGCAAAGUAAGCGAAGUGUGAAAUCUUGCGGCUCAACCGUAAGAUUAUGCUUUGAACUGCUUAGCUAGAGCAUGAGAGAGGUAGCUGGAAUUCCUAGUGUAGGAGUGAAAUCCGUAGAUAUUAGGAGGAACACCGAUGGCGUAGGCAGGCUACUGGCUCAUUGCUGACACUAAGGCACGAAAGCGUGGGGAGCGAACGGG
rnacentral:rRNA from 1 species